GUCGAACGCUGGCGGCGUGCUUAACACAUGCAAGUCGAACGGAGUGGCGAACGGUUGGGUAAAACGUGGGUGACCUGCCCUGCACUGCGGGGUAAGCCUGAGGAACUGGUUCUAAUACCACCUAGUGUGGGAUGGGCCGGCGGCCUAUGAGCUUGUUGGUGGGGUAAUGGCAUAGCAAGGCGGCGACGGGUCGCCGGCCUGGGAGGGUUGACGGCCACAUGGGGACUGAGACACGGCCCAGACUCCUACGGGAGGCAGCAGUGGGGAAGAUUGCACAAUGAGCGGAAGUGUGAUGCAGCGACGCCGCGUGGGGGAUGUCGGCCUUCGGGUUGUAAACUCCUUUAACCAUCGACGCGGUAGAUGGAGAAGAAGCACCGGCUAACUACGUGCCAGCAGCCGCGGUAAUAC
rnacentral:rRNA from 1 species